GUUGGGAAGUCUGCUCUUGGAGUGGUGGGAAAUGGCAGAAGGCAGGGUGAGGGCAGCUGGAGGACACCUGGGACCUUAGGGUGACUGGGCUCAGAAUGUAACAAAAUGUCUAGGCCUGGCAGUCAAGUUUGGUGACCAUGGCCAUUGCUGCUAUAAACAUUGGGGUACAGAUGGCCCUUCUUUUCACAACAUCUGUAUCUUUGGGGUAAAUACCCAGGAGUGCAACAGCAGUCAGACAACAAAGAGAAAUAAAAGGAAAGAAACACAACCUAGAGAACAAGAAUAAAGCUUCCAUGGAAAGCCCCAGAAGGAAUUCAAGUGGAAAUACCCUGAGAUCCCUACUCACAAGACCUGGCCUAGAAAAUAAUCACUAAAGGUGAUUGCCCUCAACUCUACUACCCACUGACUCAACCUUUCUUCUAACUGUGUGCUCCACAGAACUCAAAGGUGGCUACAGCCCCAUCCUGUAGAGGACCAUGAUGGAUCCCAGAGACAGGCUGAGAACCAACUAGCAAAUCCAAAGCAGCGGGAGCCUACAAUUCUACCACCAUCACAAGGUUAAACCUUUCCAAGUGCAACCUAUCUGUCUUUCCCAUUGUUCAGACUGAUUCCACGUGGACUUUGAGAAGACCAUGUUCAGUGUAAAUGUGAUUUAAACUUCCAUCUGUGAAAGCAAUUCAACAACGCAUUCUGGUUUUAAAUUCUUGUGUUGAAACAAAAGCAAGUCCCCAUCCCAUCGGUGAGUUAUCCGUUCUUUUUCUCUUCGCUAAAAUGCGGGAAGAGGACCGCUGAAGAAGGGAAAGGGAGCGAAUAGUGCU